CAGCACCAGCCUGUGGGUGGAAGGCAGGCGAUGAGAGCCAGAGAAGGAGGCGCUGCAGGACAGCAUCGCUUCUGUGACGCCACAAAGCCCCUCAACGUGCCUGUUUUCCUGGGAAGAAGCAAGCGGGCCAGAGGCGUGCACUGGGUCUCCAUUGCCGCGCACGGGCUUUCUCUAGCUGCGGUGAGAAAGGGCGGCUCUUGGGUGUGCACACGGGCUUCCCACCGCCUUCCGUGGCUCCUCUUUCUGCAGAGCACGGGCUCCAGGUGCGCAGGCCUCAGUGGCUGCAGCUCGCAGGCCUAAUUGCUUUGUGCCACGUGGGAUCUUUCCAGCCGAGGCAUUGAACCCCUAUCCCCCGCACCUGCAGGCAAAUUCUUUUUCACUAUACAUCAGGGAAGCCCCAAGCAGCUACUGUUUUCUUAUCAGUAAAAGGGCCAUUUAACAAUAUCCACAGC